rnacentral:rRNA from 1 species
UACAGAGGCCUCGAGCGUUAGGCGGAAUCACUGGGCUUAAAGCGUGUGUAGGCGGACUUCUAAGUACCUUGUGAAAUCCCACGGCUUACCCGUGGAACUGCUUGGUAUACUGGUUGUCUUGAGCUUUCUAGGGGCGAGUGGAACAAAUGGUGGAGCGGUGAAAUGCGUAGAUAUCAGGAGGAACACCGGUGGUGUAGACGGCUUUCUGGACCGUAACUGACGCUGAGACACGAAAGCGUGGGUAGCAAACAGG